ACAGGGAUAUAAAGCUAUUGCAUGCGAUGCUUAUUCUAUAAGCAUUUGCCUUUAAAUGCAAGCUUAGCCCGUCGAUCUAAUCUAACUCAUUGCUUGAACGUACUUCGGUACUUCAGCUGGGUGGAAGUGUAAGAAUCGAAUAACAAUUUAUGUUGGUUAUAAUAACCUUAUUAUAAUAACACUGCUUUAUUAUAAUAACUCGGUUUUAUUACUAAUUGUUAUAUACAAUAUAUAUACAAUACACAGCGCUUUAGCGUUGGAAAGCAAACGUCUGUAGUUUUACUACUGCCAUAGAGUGUGACAGCCACGUUCUAAAUUGCUAUUGUUAUAACAAUUAAAAAAAAAGUAAUAACCGUUGUUAUAUUAAGGUUUAAACCGUAAUUCGUGAUUGUUGAUACCAGAGUCGAGUUGUUUGGGACUACAGCUCAAAUCGUUUGGAGGUGGUAAUGACACAUCUAAGGCUAAAUAUUGGUGUUUACUAAUAACAUGCAAUGGAAACCGAUAGCAAACAAGUACCGUAAGGGAACGAUGAAAAGCACCCUUCAUAGCGCACUAUGUUAUUAUUUCUUAUUUAAUAAGAUCUAAUACAUACUAAGCUCCAAAGGGAGUGAAAGAGAGAGUGAAAUCGCCUAACAUUUAUAAAAUCGCUAACAGCGCUCUUUAAUAUAAUGUUAUAAUUCAGCGAAGUACAAUCGGACAGAGUGUCUUUGUAUCUCUUUUUUAAGGGAUUAUAAGCGGGCUAUUACAUUUCGAAAAUGUAAUAUGUUAUGCUAUAACAAUCUUAUUGUUAUUUUAACAAUAAGAUUAUCAGGACACAACUAUCUGACCCGUCUUGAAACACGGACCAAGGAGUUCAACUGGACUGCAAGUCUUAGAGAUUAUCAUUAAUCUCUUAAAAGGCAAAGCGAAAGCAAUGUUUAAUAUAUUAAGUGUUAAGUCUUUAUUCACACAAAGACUGCCACACAAGCUGUUUACGGUCAUAUUGUUAGAGCCUUUGUGCUGUGCAUAUGCAUUAACUUUAGCCUUUUGGUUAUAGUUUAAUGGUUAAACAAGCUUAUUGAGCAUUUUAGUUGAGACCCGAAAGAUGGUGAACUAUGCCCGGACAUGGUGAAGCCAGGUGAAAACUUGGUGGAAGCUUGCGUUGUGCGGAACUGACGUGCAAAUCGUUGCCGCCUGAUCUGGGUAUAGGGGCGAAAGACUCAUCGAACCAUCUAGUAGCUGGUUCCCUCCGAAGUUUCCCUUAGGAUAGCUCGAUAUUAUUCUUUUAAUUCUUAUUAAACAAAUGUGUAACACAAGGGUAAAGCAAUGAGACGCGGUAUCUGUGGGUCUUAUCUUUAAUGACCUCGGCCUUCUCUCAAACUUUAAAUCUGUGCGAUUUCAUAUGCUUUCUUAGAUUAGCCUAAUUUUAUUAGGUUAUAAGAAGCUAUGUAUAUCUUUUGGAUAUAUUAAAUUGUAACUAAAUAUCGUAGUGGGCCAUUCCUGGUAAGCAGGACUGGCGAUGAGGGAUUCAACCUGACGUUUUCAAGAUAAGCCGGGCUUAAUCUUAUCUGCUCCAACCUUCCGAUAAACGCGAAAGGGUGUUCCGUGUGGUGCAGACAGCAGGACGGUGGCCAUGGAAGUUGGAAUCCGCGUAAGGAGUGUGUAACAACUCACCUGCAGAAUCACACCGCCCCGAAAACGGAUGGCGCUCAAGCAGUUAAUAUAAUAGAUUUAUUCUAUUAUAAUACCCGACACUUGACCAUUGUUAUUAUAUCCAUAUAAUACAAUGAGUAGGAGGUUAUCAAUCGCGUGUGGAUAUACUUACGUGUGUUUAAUGUUUUAAUAAAACACCACGUUUUGUUUACGCUUAGAAGCGGCAUCUCGUAAGAGGCCGUUGAGCUAUCCAUAGUGCAGAUCUUGGUACUAGUAGCAAGGAGUCUUACUGAGAUAUCUUAAAUGGUUAUAAUCUGUUUAUUUAUAUAAACACUAUAACCUUCUUUUAACCGAGGAUGACCGAAGCGGAGAAAGGUUCCAUGUUGCAGCUUAGUGCGACGUGGGUGAGUCAGUCCUAAGGCUAAUGCCUGAAACAGGCUUUCAAUUCUGUUACAUCUUUUGUUUAAAUUAUAUUUCUAUUACUUGUAAUAGAUUUAUUAUAUUUAACAAAUCGUAACGGUUGGCUAAACGGGAAUCGGGUUAAUAUUCUCGAACCACUGUAUGACAGUCUUCUUAUUACACUCUAUUGUAAUAAUAAUCUUAUCGCGGCAACGCUAAAGUUGGGUUGUUUAUUUUAAAACGACCUCAACCACAAGGCAAGUUACUUGAGGCGAGAAUCCUGACAGGGUUAUCUAACCUGUUUAACCUUUUUGUUUAAAUAGAUUUAUUAAUCUAUUAAAAAACAAUAUAAUAAUAAUCUUAUAAUAAACAACAACCAAGUGUUGAGCGGCAUUUAGUGAACGAUGCACUUGGUUAUUUGCCCAUUAGUAAUGGGAAGAGCACUGGUGUCUGUAGAUUACUAUGUAUUUCUCUUAUUCUUAAUAAGAGCGGUAUCAUAUGUACUCUCAGGCAAUUUACCUGGUGUCUAUGGACUUCUUGUUCUCAGGCGUGAAAAGCUUGUCUCGUAUUUUAAUAGUUAUAUAACAAUAAUAAUACUAUUGUUAUAAUAACAAAACAAAACAAUAUAAUAACCACACACUGCUACAGUGUCUGUACUCAUAACCGCAUCAGGUCUCCAAGGUUUGCAGCCUUUGGUCGUAUAGAAAUACGGUGGGUAAGGGAAGUCGGCAAAUUCGGUCCGUACUUACGAUACAAGGACUGGCUCCGAAGGUGAAUGAAUUCCAUAGCUCUUAAUCUUUCUUAUCUAUUAAAGCUAUUUUCUUAUAAAUACGCUUUUAAUAAGAAACGCACUUUAGUGUAUAAUUGCUAUUGCGUAUAUAUCCCAACCUUUGAGAACUGGCACGGACUCGGGGAAUCCGACUGUUUAAUUAAAACAUAGCAAAGUGCAAUGUUUCUUUAUGUAGAUUGAUUUGCCUUUAAAGAUUCGUCUUUAAUACUAUCUCAGUCGCAUUACUUUUUUUAAUUAGUCCGAAGUGGAUUUGAACACUUUGUGUAUUCUGCCCAGUGCUCUGCAAGUUAUUCUGUGUGGAUACAGCAUUUUAAGCGCGGGUCAACGGCGGGAGUAACUAUGACUCUCUUAAGGUAGCCAAAUGCCUCGUCAUUUAAUUGGUGACGCGCAUGAAUGGAUCAACGAGAUUCCCACUGUCCCUACUCACUCUCUAGCGAAAUUACAGCCAAGCCAACGGUCUUGGGAUAGUACUUGUGUGUAAUAUUAUCAUGUGUCACAAGACAUAUAUUGUUAUUACAGUAAACACAAUAAACGGUUUAAUACAUUUACAAUACAGUGUCGUGUUAAUAGCACUACGACUGUUAUAAUAGUAUUAUAAUUGUUAUUAUAAUAACAAUGUUAUACUAAUAACGUACAACAGCGGGGCAAGAAGACCCUUUUGAGCUUGACUCUAAUCUGUUAUUGUCAUCUGGUCGGCAUGGCGAAGAUUGUAAGAGGCAGUGCAUUUAUUUGUACGACCAUGAAACACCGCUACUUGACGAUUUGGCUGACUAACUGUAUAGGCAUUGCCUUUUUACAGUGUUAGAAACAACAUACAUUUCCGGUCUAAAAGAGCUUAUAAUACUCAUUGUAUUAUACUCUUAACCGUUUAUGUAAGCAUUGUGGCAUUCGUUUCUUUUUAUAACGACCAUUGUUCUCUCGUCUUUUACUAAUCUUAUUAUUAGAUUUGUAAUAGGUUAUUAAUUUGUUAUAACCUUAGACUUGUUGAAAUGCCCUAUGCCAAUGAGCUACCAUUUUAAACAUAGCAUUACGAGCAUUGGACUACAGUGUCUGUAUUGAUUCUUUUUUAUUAGCUUCGGCUUUUAAUAGGAAUACAAAUCUAAUGACACAUACCCAUUAAUAGCAAUUGUACAGGACAUUUGCAGAAUGGGAGUUUGGCUGGGGUGGCACAUCUGUUAGAAUGCAACACAGGUGUCCCAAGGGCAGCUCCGUGAGAACAGAAACCUCUCAUCGAGUAUAAGGGCAAAAGCUGUCUUAAUCUAAGUACCUUCAGUAACGGUACACAAUGAAAUAUAAUACUUGCCUGUCUUAUGUUUACUCGUAAACAUGUAUGGCUUGUCUAGUGUGAAAGCACGGCCUAGCGAUCCUUUAGUGAACGUAUGAAUUCUAUGGUUUUUACUUAUGUGUAAUACAUUCUCUUAAAACGUAUUAAAUCUUUAACCAUUUAGUCUUAAAGAGUGUGUAUUUUACGAUUCUUAUCGUGGUUAUGCCAUUCUGUAUAAGUGCUAUAUUGGUAUUAUAAUAAGGUUUAUUACAUGUAUAAGAGAUUUAUUACCAUAAGACCUAUUACUUUUUGCGGCUAGAGGUGUCAGAAAAGUUACCACAGGGAUAACUGGCUUGUGGCCCCGGAGCGUUCAAAGCGAUGGGGCUUUUUGAUUCUUCGAUGUCGGCUCUUCCUAUCCUGCGGUUGCAUACGGCCGCAAGGGUAAGUUUGUUCACCUGCCAACAGGGAACGUGAG
rnacentral:rRNA from 1 species